rnacentral:lncRNA from 1 species
AUAGAAGCGAGCUUAGCUGUAAAAAUGGGGCCAGCACCCCUUUUUUCUCAUUUCUUCACCACACCCUUCAAUAUAUUCAGUUUUAGGAGUAGGUUUCCGAAAGUUUGUGCUUUCAUUUCCCUUUGUUAAAUGUGUGGUUUAGACUCUGUUAGUGUUGCAUUUGGAACUCCAUACAUAUAUACAUGGUCUUUCAGGGUAUUUGUUGUAAGGGUCACAUUCUCUUUGAUUUCUUAAUUAGAAUAAGAUCAUCUGGUUUUUUAAGUAUUCCCUUUGUGUAUAUAUAUAUUUACAGAUUAGGGAAGUCCAUGUUUGCAAUUUAGAAUAAGGGAUACAACGUUGUAUACUAUAGGUAAGGAGAUGAGAGGUUGGUGGAUGAACCUUAAUGCUUCCUCAUUUAGACAAAAGGGAACGUGGGCUUCAUGUGCGUCGACCCUUUUAACGUGACGCUAUUUUCUUCCACACUAGAAUUCUAUCUUUACCUCUCCUCUCAAAUCAAAGCCCCUACCAUAAAUAGUCUCUGAAUCAUACCUUAGCAUUGUUGAAUGCUAAUGAUGUGUGCAUGAGGGGUAAAACUCUAUGAAUUACAAAAUUUGACCUGAAAUAUUACAUGAAUUUCGACAUGAUUUUAUUGAAGCAUGUACAUUCCCAAAAAUGUCCUGUAAGCCAAACUUAGAAUUUCAACUUUUAGAGCUUGGAAUAAGUAUUAAGCUGAAUUUGAAGACUAAUUUUAGGGCUUAAGUUGUCAUUUUUAUUGUGGGAUUAAUAUUUAAUUAUAUCUAUGUUUUCUUUUAAAUAAGGAAUGGUGGAU